GUUUUUGGAGGAUUUGGAGGCUUUUGGAGGAUUUGGGUGGUGGUCAUGGAGGCAAAUACUAAUGACAUUACUGAUGGACCACACAACUGUGUCUCACACACUAGUUCAUGGAAAUCAGUUUUGACGACCACAUUAACGUUCAGUAAAAAGCAAACGUAAUACAAUUCAGUCCUGCCUACAUUAAUAAAGUCUCAGUCUAACCUC